AUUUUAAAGGGCCGCGGUAUUCUGACCGUGCAAAGGUAGCAUAAUAGUUAGGUCUUUAAUUGAGAUCUUGUAUGAAUGGUUUGACGAAGAAAAAGCUGUCUUUAUGCUUAUUUAUUGAAUUUAACUUUUAAGUGAAAAGGCUUAAAUAAAUUAAGGGGACGAUAAGACCCUAUAAAACUUUAUGUAAUAUCUAUACUUAAUUAAAUUAUAACUUUAUAAAAGUUAAUUGAAGAUUUUAUAUUAUGUUGGGGCGACAAAGAUAAAAAUUAUAGUAACUGUUUAAUGAUUAGACAAAUAUUUUUGAUUAUAAUCUUAGAUGAUCCUAUUUAAAGAUUAGAAGUUUAAGUUACUUUAGGGAUAACAGCGUUAUUUUUUUUGAGAGUUCUUAUCGAAAAAAGAGUUUGCGACCUCGAUGUUGAAUUAAAAUUUCUAUACAAUUGUAGGAGUUGUAUAAGAAGGUCUGUUCGACCUUUAAAUUUUUACAUG
rnacentral:rRNA from 1 species